CUGAAUCUACCAUGAAAGACUUCAGAGUCCAGGAAGAGAGACUGACUGGGCAACAUCUUAUUCAGAAACAGGACCUUGCUGUGUCACUCAAGAUGGAGUUCAGUGAUCCUAUCAUGGCUCAUUGUAGCCUCAAACUCCCAGGCUCAAGCGAUCCUCCCACCUCAUCCCUCCCAGUAGCUGGGACUACAGAUGGAGUUUCACUCUUGUUGCCCAAGCUGGAGGGCAAUGGUGUGAUCUCGGCUCACUGCAACCUCCGCCUCCCAGUUUCAAGCGAUUCUUCUGCCUCAGCCUCCC